AUUGGGGGGCUGCCUAUACAUGCAAGUCGAGCGGACAGAAGGGAGCUUGCUCCCGGAUGUUAGCGGCGGACGGGUGAGUAACACGUGGGUAACCUGCCUGUAAGACUGGGAUAACUCCGGGAAACCGGAGCUAAUACCGGAUAGUUCCUUGAACCGCAUGGUUCAAGGAUGAAAGACGGUUUCGGCUGUCACUUACAGAUGGACCCGCGGCGCAWUAGCUAGUUGGUGGGGUAAUGGCUCACCAAGGCGACGAUGCGUAGCCSACCUGAGAGGGUGAUCGGCCACACUGGGACUGAGACACGGCCCAGAYUCCUACGGGAGGCAGCAGUAGGGAAUCUUCCGCAAUGGACGAAAGUCUGACGGAGCAACGCCGCGUGAGUGAUGAAGGUUUUCGGAUCGUAAAGCUCUGUUGUUAGGGAAGAACAAGUGCGAGAGUAACUGCUCGCACCUUGACGGUACCUAACCAGAAAGCCACGGCUAACUACGUGCCAGCAGCCGCGGUAAUACGUAGGUGGCAAGCGUUGUCCGGAAUUAUUGGGCGUAAAGGGCUCGCAGGCGGUUUCUUAAGUCUGAUGUGAAAGCCCCCGGCUCAACCGGGGAGGGUCAUUGGAAACUGGGAAACUUGAGUGCAGAAGAGGAGAGUGGAAUUCCACGUGUAGCGGUGAAAUGCGUAGAGAUGUGGAGGAACACCAGUGGCGAAGGCGACUCUCUGGUCUGUAACUGACGCUGAGGAGCGAAAGCGUGGGGAGCGAACAGGAUUAGAUACCCUGGUAGUCCACGCCGUAAACGAUGAGUGCUAAGUGUUAGGGGGUUUCCGCCCCUUAGUGCUGCAGCUAACGCAUUAAGCACUCCGCCUGGGGAGUACGGUCGCAAGACUGAAACUCAAAGGAAUUGACGGGGGCCCGCACAAGCGGUGGAGCAUGUGGUUUAAUUCGAAGCAACGCGAAGAACCUUACCAGGUCUUGACAUCCUCUGACAACCCUAGAGAUAGGGCUUUCCCUUCGGGGACAGAGUGACAGGUGGUGCAUGGUUGUCGUCAGCUCGUGUCGUGAGAUGUUGGGUUAAGUCCCGCAACGAGCGCAACCCUUGAUCUUAGUUGCCAGCAUUCAGUUGGGCACUCUAAGGUGACUGCCGGUGACAAACCGGAGGAAGGUGGGGAUGACGUCAAAUCAUCAUGCCCCUUAUGACCUGGGCUACACACGUGCUACAAUGGACAGAACAAAGGGCUGCAAGACCGCAAGGUUUAGCCAAUCCCAUAAAUCUGUUCUCAGUUCGGAUCGCAGUCUGCAACUCGACUGCGUGAAGCUGGAAUCGCUAGUAAUCGCGGAUCAGCAUGCCGCGGUGAAUACGUUCCCGGGCCUUGUACACACCGCCCGUCACACCACGAGAGUUUGCAACACCCGAAGUCGGUGAGGUAACCUUUAUGGAGCCAGCCGCCGAAGGUGGGGCAGAUGAUUGGGGUGAAGUCGUAACAAGUAGCCUUGAG
rnacentral:rRNA from 1 species